GUGGGGAAUAUUGGACAAUGGGCGAAAGCCUGAUCCAGCCAUGCCGCGUGUGUGAAGAAGGUCUUCGGAUUGUAAAGCACUUUAAGUUGGGAGGAAGGGCAUUAACCUAAUACGUUAGUGUUUUGACGUUACCGACAGAAUAAUCACCGGCUAACUUCGUGCCAGCAGCCGCGGUAAUACGAAGGGUGCAAGCGUUAAUCGGAAUUACUGGGCGUAAAGCGCGCGUAGGUGGUUCGUUAAGUUGGAUGUGAAAGCCCCGGGCUCAACCUGGGAACUGCAGCCAAAACUGGCGAGCUAGAGUACGGUAGAGGGUGGUGGAAUUUCCUGUGUAGCGGUGAAAUGCGUAGAUAUAGGAAGGAACACCAGUGGCGAAGGCGACCACCUGGACUGAUACUGACACUGAGGUGCGAAAGCGUGGGGAGCAAACAGGAUUAGAAACCCGGGUAGUCC
rnacentral:rRNA from 1 species